ACAUCUUAUGAGUAAGAGUGAUUG
rnacentral:miRNA from 1 species